rnacentral:rRNA from 1 species
UCUUCGGGAUGAGCGGCGGACGGGUGAGUAACGCGUGGGAAUGUGCCCUUCUCUACGGAAUAGCCACUGGAAACGGUGAGUAAUACUGUAUACGCCCUUAGGGGGAAAGAUUUAUCGGAGAAGGAUCAGCCCGCGUUAGAUUAGGUAGUUGGUGGGGUAACGGCCUACCAAGCCUACGAUCUAUAGCUGGUUUUAGAGGAUGAUCAGCCACACUGGGACUGAGACACGGCCCAGACUCCUACGGGAGGCAGCAGUAGGGAAUCUUGGACAAUGGGGGAAACCCUGAUCCAGCCAUGCCGCGUGUGUGAAGAAGGCCUUAGGGUCGUAAAGCACUUUCGCCAGAGAUGAUAAUGACAGUAUCUGGUAAAGAAACCCCGGCUAACUCCGUGCCAGCAGCCGCGGUAAUACGGAGGGGGUUAGCGUUGUUCGGAAUUACUGGGCGUAAAGCGCACGUAGGCGGACUGGAAAGUUGGGGGUGAAAUCCCGGGGCUCAACCUCGGAACUGCCUCCAAAACUAUCAGUCUAGAGUUCGAGAGAGGUGAGUGGAAUUCCAAGUGUAGAGGUGAAAUUCGUAGAUAUUUGGAGGAACACCAGUGGCGAAGGCGGCUCACUGGCUCGAUACUGACGCUGAGGUGCGAAAGUGUGGGGAGCAAACAGGAUUAGAUACCCUGGUAGUCCACACCGUAAACGAUGAAUGCCAGUCGUCGGCAAGUAUACUUGUCGGUGACACACCUAACGGAUUAAGCAUUCCGCCUGGGGAGUACGGUCGCAAGAUUAAAACUCAAAGGAAUUGACGGGGGCCCGCACAAGCGGUGGAGCAUGUGGUUUAAUUCGAAGC